rnacentral:snRNA from 1 species
GUGCUUGCUUUGGCAGCACAUAUACUAAAAUUGGAACAAUACAGAGAAGAUUACCAUGGCCCCUGCACAAGGAUGACAUGCAAAUUUGUGAAGUGUUCCAUAUUUUU